AUUGAACGCUGGCGGCAGGCCUAACACAUGCAAGUCGAGCGAGCGGCGGACGGGUGAGUAAUGUAUGUGUACUGCCCGAUAGAGGGGGAUUACUACUGGAAACGGUGACUAAUACCGCAUCCAGUCGGAUAAACAAUAUGGAAUUAGCUAGUAGGUAAGGUAAUGGCUUACCUAGGCGACGAUCCCUAGCUGGUCUGAGAGGAUGAUCAACCAAACUGGGACUGAGACACGGCCCAGACUCCUACGGAGGCAGCAGUGGGGAAUAUUGCACAAGGGGCGAAAGCCUGAUGCAGCCAUGCCGCGUGUAUGAAGAAGGCCCUAGGGUUGUAAAGUACUUUCAGUCGGGAGGCGUUACCGACAGAAGAAGCACCGGCUAACUCCGUGCCAGCAGCCGCGGUAAUAC
rnacentral:rRNA from 1 species